AAGGGCGGCCACAGCGGUGGGGAAACACCCGUACCCGUUCCGAACACGGAAGUUAAGCCCACCAGCGUACCGGGAAGUACUGGAGUGCGCGAGCCUCUGGGAACCGCGGUUCGCCGCCCACC
rnacentral:rRNA from 1 species